UACGGGGGGAGCAAGCGUUGUUCGGAUUUACUGGGCGUAAAGGGCGCGUAGGCGGCCACCGCAAGUCGACUGUGAAAUCUCCGGGCUUAACCCGGAAAGGUCAGCCGAUACUGCGGGGCUAGAGUGCAGAAGGGGCAACUGGAAUUCUCGGUGUAGCGGUGAAAUGCGUAGAUAACGAGAGGAACACCUGCGGCGAAGGCGGGUUGCUGGGCUGACACUGACGCUGAGGCGCGAAAGCUAGGGGAGCGAACGGG
rnacentral:rRNA from 1 species